UUUUUUUGUUGCCACAUGCAAAUCGCUGAUUUUUUUUAAAAAAAUUGCCAUCAGAUUCUGGUAGACCUAUACUUCAUUACAUUCGCUACAGUAUAUGUAAAGUAGUUUACAAGGUCCUAUUACAGAUCUUUUAUUGAAAAUUUGUUUAAAUUUAUUAUCGUUAUAUAUUGACUAUAGCAUUGAAGUUUAAAGAUUUGAGCCUUUCCUAAUAAUCAAGUGGCGCUACAACCCCGUUGGGUCUUUUGAAUUUUUGUUGCAUCUUUCUUUAUAGCCUUCUAUGUCUGGCACAAUUCGGGGUACAUUUUCAGAUUUCUACCAUUACGAUAAAUUUAGGAACGUGUCGAAAAAUCUAUUGAGGCACAGUUGAGACACUUUUGGUCGAUCGUGUUGGACGGAAACCGCUGCUUCUAUUGUCUGCGCUAGGGGUGGGACUAAUGAAUGCCCGACCAACGUCAAGUUGUACGCCUCCUGUGUCGCUCAUAUUUAUACUGGAGUUUCGAUGUUUGCUGUUCAGAAACUCUUCCAAGUAAUAAGAGAUACAUAUGGUAUCUACACAGUUUUCUGGGGCUUCUGUGCGUGCUCAAUCCUCGGGCUGGUGUUCAUUCUAGCCGUGCUACCCGAGACCAAGGGGAAAUCAUUUGCUUGCAUACAGGCUCAGCUGAAAAGAGAAGUCGCCCGCGACAACGCAAGCAAACUUAUGACUGUCGAGUAUUAAUA